rnacentral:rRNA from 1 species
AGGCAGCAGGCACGGAAAUUACCCAAUCCCAAUUCGGGGAGGUAGUGACAAGAAAUAACGAUACGGGGUCUUUACAGGUCUCGCAAUCGGAAUGAGUACAAUUUAAAUCCUUUAACGAGGAUCCAAUGGAGGGCAAGUCUGGUGCCAGCAGCCGCGGUAAUUCCAGCUCCAUUAGCGUAUAUUAAAGUUGUUGCAGUUAAAAAGCUCGUAGUUGGAUUUCAGUAUGGGCCAGUUGGUCGGCCGCAAGGCCUGUUACUGACUGGUCUGUUCUUCUUCUCAAAGACUGCAUGUGCUCUUCGCUGAGUGUGUGUAGGAUUUGGGACGUUUACUUUGAAAAAAUUAGAGUGUUCAAGGCAGGCUUGUAAGCUUGAAUACAUGAGCAUGGAAUAAUGGAAUAGGACUACGGUCCCUAUUUCGUUGGUUUCGAGGACCGAAGUAAUGAUUAAGAGGGACAGUUGGGGGCAUCCGUAUUUCGUAGUCAGAGGUGAAAUUCUUGGAUCUACGAAAGACGAACAACUGCGAAAGCAUUUGCCAAGAGUGUUUUCAUUAAUCAAGAACGAAAGUUAGAGGAUCGAAGACGAUCAGAUACCGUCCUAGUUCUAACCGUAAACGAUGCCGACUAGGGAUCAGUGGGUGUUAUUGUACGACCCCAUUGGCACCUCACGGGAAACCAAAGU